ACGGAAGGCAGCAGUGGGGGGUAUUGCACAAUGGGGGAAACCCUGAUGCAGCAAUGCCGCGUGAGGGAAGAAGGUCUUCGGAUUGUAAACCUAAGUUGUCAGGGACGAAACAAAUGACGGUACCUGAAAAGAAAGCUCCGGCUAACUACGUGCCAGCAGCCGCGGUAAUACGUAGGGAGCGAGCGUUGUCCGGAUUUACUGGGUGUAAAGGGUGCGUAGGCGGGUUUGCAAGUCAGGCGUGAAAUACCGAAGCUUAACUUCGGAGCUGCGCUUGAAACUGUAGAUCUUGAGUGAAGUAGAGGCAAGCGGAAUUCCUAGUGUAGCGGUGAAAUGCGUAGAUAUUAGGAGGAACACCAGUGGCGAAGGCGGCUUGCUGGGCUUUAACUGACGCUGAGGCACGAAAGCAUGGGGAGCAAACAGGAUUAGAUACCCUGGUA
rnacentral:rRNA from 1 species